rnacentral:lncRNA from 1 species
GAUAAUACAGGCAACAAGGAAUGGUUUUCUUCUGACAAGAGUAUUGCAGGCACUAUCGCUGGCUUACAAAGAGGGUUCAAGAAUAAAAAGAGAAUCGAGCCCUGUCUGAGAGAAGGAAAAGGUUUUUCAGUAUUGGAACUUGGUGAACGCUGAUGAAAUAUUCCUUCCCACACCUCUCUAAAUGGAACAACACAUUCACUAUGUGGAAGAAAAGCAAGCACAACUAUUCAUUUCAGAAGGACUCUGUUUUGAAGUGAGUACAAUAUUCAUAGUAAUAAUAAUUAAAUAAAAUGU